rnacentral:rRNA from 1 species
AGAGUUUGAUCCUGGCUCAGGAUGAACGCUGGCGGCGUGCCUAACACAUGCAAGUCGAACGAACCUUGGGGAACAGAUUACUUCGGUUUGAAGUUCCCCGCUGGUUAGUGGCGGACGGGUGAGUAACGCGUGGGUAACCUGCCGUAUGCAGGGGGAUAACAGUUAGAAAUGACUGCUAAUACCGCAUAAGCGCACAGUAUCGCAUGAUACAGUGUGAAAAACGAUAGUGGCAUACGAUGGACCCGCGUCUGAUUAGCUAGUUGGCGGGGUAACGGCCCACCAAGGCGACGAUCAGUAGCCGGCCUGAGAGGGUGAACGGCCACAUUGGAACUGAGACACGGUCCAAACUCCUACGGGAGGCAGCAGUGGGGGAUAUUGCACAAUGGGGGAAACCCUGAUGCAGCGACGCCGCGUGAGUGAAGAAGUAUUUCGGUAUGUAAAGCUCUAUCAGCAGGAAAGAUAAUGACGGUACCUGACUAAGAAGCACCGGCUAAAUACGUGCCAGCAGCCGCGGUAAUACGUAUGGUGCAAGCGUUAUCCGGAUUUACUGGGUGUAAAGGGAGCGCAGACGGCAUGGCAAGCCAGAUGUGAAAGGUGGGGGCUCAACCCCCAAGCUGCAUUUGGAACUGUCAAGCUAGAGUAUCGGAGAGGUAAGUGGAAUUCCUAGUGUAGCGGUGAAAUGCGUAGAUAUUAGGAGGAACACCAGUGGCGAAGGCGGCUUACUGGACGAUAACUGACGUUGAGGCUCGAAAGCGUGGGGAGCAAACAGGAUUAGAUACCCUGGUAGUCCACGCCGUAAACAAUGAAAACUUAGGGGUUGGGGAGGAAAA